GACCCCAUCUUCACUUUGCCACCAGGAAUCUUUAUGUCCUCAGUGGUCAUUCAUGUGGGGAAAAGUAUUUGAUCCUUAAGUACUCCAGUCUAACUUCUGUUUGACCUGGGGUUCUAUUGAGGAAACAGCA
ensembl:snoRNA SNORA27 small nucleolar RNA, H/ACA box 27